UAAAGUGGAAUUGGGAUAAUA
rnacentral:miRNA from 1 species